rnacentral:misc_RNA from 1 species
CCAAUAGCGUAUAUUAAAGUUGUUGUGGUUAAAAAGCUCGUAGUUGAACCUUGGGCCUGGCUGGCCGGUCCGCCUCACCGCGUGUACUGGUCCGGCCGGGCCUUUCCCUCUGUGGAACCCCAUGCCCUUCACUGGGUGUGGCGGGGAAACAGGACUUUUACUGUGAAAAAAUUAGAGUGCUCCAGGCAGGCCUAUGCUCGAAUACAUUAGCCUGGAAUAAUAGAAUAGGACGUGUGGGUCUAUUUUGUUGGUUUCUAGGACCGCCGUAAUGAUUAAUAGGGACAGUCGGGGGCAUCAGUAUUCAAUUGUCAGAGGUGAAAUUCUUGGAUUUAUUGAAGACUAACUACUGCGAAAGCAUUUGCCAAGGAUGUUUUCAUUAAUCAGGAACGAAAGUUAGGGGAUCGAAGACGAUCAGAUACCGUCGUAGUCUUAACCAUAAACUAUGCCGACUAGGGAUCGGACGGUGUUAUUUUUUGACCCGUUCGGCACCUUACG